UACAGAGGGGGCAAGCGUUAUUCGGAAUUAUUGGGCGUAAAGGGCGCGUAGGCGGCCAUUCAAGUGGCGGGUGAAAGCCCUCGGCUUAACCGAGGAACUGCCUGUCAGACUGGAUGGCUUGAGACCGGGAGAGGUGAGUGGAAUUCCCAGUGUAGCGGUGAAAUGCGUAGAUAUUGGGAGGAACACCAGUGGCGAAGGCGGCUCACUGGACCGGAACUGACGCUGAGGCGCGAAAGCGUGGGGAGCAAACAGG
rnacentral:rRNA from 1 species